rnacentral:misc_RNA from 1 species
GUAAAUGGUAAAGCAAGGUAUUGCAAGAAAGAUAACUGAUAAUCUCUUAGUAGUUAACAAGACAAUUUAAAAAGCAAUAAAAUUAUUACUAUAACCAAUUAUUACAAAUAUGCAGCUGAAGAAUGUGCCAAGCCAGACCACAGCAGGUCCACAUCAUGCUGACAUGAAUCAGGCAUUUUUGUUAUAUAAGAAAAGAAAAAGAAGAAAGAAAGUAAUGAGAUAAAUGCACAACUCUAAAGAAUUUUGGCAUCUUUCCUGCCACCAAAUCCUCUCCAUU